rnacentral:rRNA from 1 species
CAUACGGCUCAGUAACACGUGGCUAACCUACCCUUGAGACGGAGACAACCCCGGGAAACUGGGGCUAAUCCCAGAUAGAUGAGAACUCCUGGAACGGGUUCUCGUCCAAAAGGCGUCUAAGCCAUGCUUUUAGGCGUUGCUCAAGGAUGGGGCCGCGACCGAUCAGGCUGUUGGUGAGGUAACGGCUCACCAAACCUUUAACCGGUACGGGCCGUGGGAGCGGGAGCCCGGAGAUGGGAACUGAGACAAGGUCCCAGGCCCUACGGGGCGCAGCCGUUGCGAAAACUUGUCAAUGCACGAAAGUGUGAACAGGCUACCCCGAGUGCUGUCCGCUGAGGAUGGCUUUUCUCUGCUGUUAAAAGGCGGGGGAAUAAGGAGAGGGCAAGUCUGGUGUCAGCCGCCGCGGUAAUACCAGCUCUCCGAGUGGUGGGGAUGAUUAUUGGGCCUAAAGCGUCCGUAGCCUGCCUUUCAAGUCUCUCGUUAAAUCCGGCGAUUCAAUCGUUGGACUGCGGGAGAUACUGUUAGGCUAGGAGGCGGGAGAAGCCGACGGUAUUUCCGGGGUAGGGGUAAAAUCCUAUAAUCCCGGGAGGACCACCAGUGGCGUAGGCGGUCGGCUAGCACGCGCCCGACGGUGAGGGAUGAAAGCUGGGGGAGCGAACC